UCAAGAUACAUACCAUCUAUAUCAGAAAUAUAUGCGAGCUCAACCCCUAACAUCCGGUACAGUUUCUGCACAGAUAAGCCAUAUUUCACUGAAGGUUGACAGGUUGUAAGAAGCGUUGAGAAUCAACAGUUGUCCUUUUGUGAAGGGCACACACUGCGGAAGAUGACCAUGUCAGGUCAAGGGUCAAGGGAAAACACAGCUGUGGAAUCUGAUACGUGAAUUUGAACUUCAUGACCGUGAAAAACUUAGUUAUAUGUCUUUAGAAAGGAGUUUCGAGGCAAAAUCAAGACAAUGUAGGAUUGGACAGUGUCAAAAUAUUAACUGGGAUUCAAAUUGCUGUUGGAUGAAAAUAGAGAUGAUCAAACUGCACAGGUGUUAGAUUGUAGGCAUGCAGGUUUCUGAUUGUAUAAAAUCAAUUUUUGCGACUGAUGACACAUAACCAAUUGAUAUUCUUCUAACAUUUCAUCAUAGGGUUCAGAGGCCAAAAUUUUGUUAACUAAAAAGUAGGGAUUCAAAUCUGACUGCUCCAUCCCUAAGUGUAGUGGAUGUGGAUCCUGUGGAUGAAAAACAAGUCAAAAACCUGCAGGUCAAUAAGUUGUAACAUGAAAGAAAGUCUUAGUGCUCAUGUAUACGUGUUUCUCAGUAGUUCUAUGGUGGAUGUGUAGAAUAAAAUCCUGAAUUACCUUAUAGACUGUCAGAUCUGAUCUUUAAUAUGGUCGUAACCUCUAGACAGAAACAUGUCUCCUCCAAAUGUUUUAUUCUGUAAACUUGCACUAACAUUACACUUAAUUUAUCAAGGAGUUUAUACAAGUAUACAAUUUUCUUAUCAAGGUAAACCAAAUAUAAAAUGAGAGUCAACUUAUAUUUAUAUGUGCAGAAACUAUUACCCCCCCCCCCC